rnacentral:lncRNA from 1 species
AUAAUAAUAAUAAAAAAGUAAAGUAUGCAUGAAGAAGAAGCACAAAAGAUAAGAAAGCCCACAAGUGUUUGAUAUGAUGAAAUGAAAACAAAGCACACCACAAUCAUCUCCAACCAAACCCCACAACACAACCCUUCUCUCAAUCUCAGUGACCACCACUCUCCUUUUCUUUCUCCUCCUCUGUCUUUGAGUGGUAACCAGGAAGCUUCUCUUUUAUCUUCUCCAAUAUACCUUUCUUCUCCUUCGCCUCUCCUUCAUGUUCCGAUGAGGUGGCAGCAGGUGGUGGCGGAGGAGGAGCUGCCGCCUCCUCACUCUUCUUGUGCCCUGGUAGCUUCUCCUUAAUCUUCUCCAG